rnacentral:rRNA from 1 species
CGGACGGGUGAGUAAUGUCUGGGAAACUGCCUGAUGGAGGGGGAUAACUACUGGAAACGGUAGCUAAUACCGCAUAACGUCGCAAGACCAAAGAGGGGGACCUUCGGGCCUCUUGCCAUCAGAUGUGCCCAGAUGGGAUUAGCUAGUAGGUGGGGUAAUGGCUCACCUAGGCGACGAUCCCUAGCUGGUCUGAGAGGAUGACCAGCCACACUGGAACUGAGACACGGUCCAG